rnacentral:lncRNA from 1 species
AACAGCCAGAAUUUCGCUCCAAGCAAGGUGGCUCCAAAGCCCAUGCUCUUGGUUUUAUAUCCCUGAAGGCAAAGACUGCACGCUGACCCUAACCCCCUAGCCUCACUGUCACCCUGCUCCUGUUCCCUCCGGAGGCCAAGACUGCUGCAGUGGUUGGGGAGGAAAGGACAUAAGGACACAGACACUGAUGGUCCAGACAGGGCAUCUCUGGCAAUUACUGAAAUGGCUACACUGACUGGCCAUCGAGCCUCAAGACUACCUCUUCCCAUCCCAGUCUCCAGCCCUGGGAUUACAAGUGUUACUAUGCAAGACCAUAAAACACAUCAGGCCUAGGGGAUGAGCCAUGCCGGCCAUUCUAGAAAUCUACCUUCCCCUUCCCUUGUCCUGAAGACACCUUAGGAAGUCCCCAGGAGAACCAGGUCUGAAGUAGCAAGGCUCAAUGACUGCACAGCAAAAGAAGGCGCUAUCAGGAGCCCAGUUCCUGCUUAAUGCUGCAGCGGCCCAGCCCAUCAGAACUCAUCUUUCCAAGCCACUGGAUAUUGGUUAAGCUGUUGUCCAGUGUGCAGCCGGCCGCUUCACCACCUGCUAGAGGGAAAACAACCCAAGACUCCAUUAGCAGCCUCUUCAGAUGCCCUACAGCUCUACCAAAACCAACGGUUGGGGAUAACCCCUCUGAGACCUGUUCUAAGGGACAGGGAAUACAUGGUAAAUCGUUGUGGCUCUAAGUUAUUCUGCUCCAUUAUGGACUUCAGUAGACAUUCAUGAACAAUAAAUUGUAUUUCAAUGAGACAGAUGGAACCUCAGGCAUCUGUCAAGGC